rnacentral:rRNA from 1 species
GAGUUUGAUCUUGGCUCAGAUUGAACGCUGGCGGCAUGCCUUACACAUGCAAGUCGAACGGCAGCACGGGAGCUUGCUCCUGGUGGCGAGUGGCGAACGGGUGAGUAAUGCAUCGGAACGUAUCCUGGAGUGGGGGAUAACGUAGCGAAAGUUACGCUAAUACCGCAUAUUCUGUGAGCAGGAAAGCGGGGGACCUUCGGGCCUCGCGCUCUUGGAGCGGCCGAUGUCGGAUUAGCUAGUUGGUGAGGUAAAGGCUCACCAAGGCGACGAUCCGUAGCAGGUCUGAGAGGAUGAUCUGCCACACUGGAACUGAGACACGGUCCAGACUCCUACGGGAGGCAGCAGUGGGGAAUUUUGGACAAUGGGGGCAACCCUGAUCCAGCCAUGUCGCGUGAGUG